rnacentral:rRNA from 1 species
UACAGAGGUCUCAAGCGUUGUUCGGAUUCAUUGGGCGUAAAGGGUGCGUAGGUGGCGCGGUAAGUCGGGUGUGAAAUCUCGGAGCUUAACUCCGAGCGGUCGUGGGAAACUGGGCGGCUAGAGUGCGGGAGAGGAGAGUGGAAUUCCUGGUGUAGCGGUGGAAUGCGCAGAUAUCAGGAAGAACCCCCGUGGCGAAGGCGGCUCUCUGGAACGCAACUGACGCUGAGACGCGAAAGCGUGGGGAGCAAACAGG